AAGAACGUAACCCCCGGAAAUAAAACCCUAGGGAGCCACCUUAAGGUGGCUCCCUAGGGUUUUAUUUCCGGGGGUUAC
rnacentral:miRNA from 1 species